rnacentral:miRNA from 1 species
UGUCAUGCUGGGGAGUGUAGUGA